rnacentral:rRNA from 1 species
AUAAGAGGUCCCGCCUGCCCUGUGACUAUAUGUUUAACGGCCGCGGUAUUUUGACCGUGCGAAGGUAGCGCAAUCACUUGUCUUUUAAAUAGGGACCUGUAUGAAUGGCAUAACGAGGGCUUGACUGUCUCCUCUUUCAAGUCAAUGAAAUUGAUCUCCCCGUGCAGAAGCGGGGAUAAAUACAUAAGACGAGAAGACCCUAUGGAGCUUUAGACACUAAAGCAGAUCAGCAUUAAUACCCCACACACGGGAUUCGAAUAAGACUGACCCCUGCCCUAAUGUCUUCGGUUGGGGCGACCGCGGAGAAAUAUAAAACCCCCGCAAGGACUGAAUGUACCACAUUCACAACCAAGAGUGACAGCUCUAAUUAACAGAAUUUCUGACCAAUAAGAUCCGGCAAUGCCGAUCAAUGGACCAAGUUACCCUAGGGAUAACAGCGCAAUCUCCUCUUAGAGCCCAUAUCGACGAGGAGGUUUACGACCUCGAUGUUGGAUCAGGACAUCCUAAUGGUGCAGCCGCUAUUAAGGGUUCGUU